GGGUAUAUAACUACUGUUUUCUUUUUAUUCUUGUGAUUCUCUUUAAACCUGUAUAUAACAUGUUGCUACUGAUUUGUGAUAAUUGUCUUGGUAUUUUCUCAGAACUGUCAAGUUGAGUUACUUUUCAAAUAACACAAGGCUCAUAUUUUUCCAUGUAAUUUCCUUUACAUAAGAAACUGUUCCUAUCAAUAAAGAUAGAUGUUCUUUGUAUAGGGUUUAUCAUAUUUGGAGAGCCAUAUACAGUAAAUACAUUGUUUAUUGAUGCCCACAAUAGAAUAGCUACAGUAUUUUGAUGAAAUUUUAUUUUUAGAUUAUAAACUGCAAGAUGUAUCUAUAGUGUCUUGUAUAAAAACAAUUGUGAUAAACUAGAAUUUUUAAAUUAGAUAAAACAAAGCUCCCCCCUUCCAGAGACCUUUUCAACAAAAUAAUACAUUCCAUAUUAACUACCAAAAAUAUUUAAAUUAAAAAAGAAAUCCUUAGAGUAGAAAUAGUAAAAAGAAAAAAUACCCAAGACAUUUUCAGUAAUGGAAGCAUUUUGUGGUACCCACUUUGUCAAUAUUUUGACUACUCUCUCAUCCAUUCUGGUUAGCAUUCUGAAUAUUUAUGGCACCUGCUGGAGCUUCUCACUCCUUUCACAUGGUCCUUUCCUCCAGCACAGCCAUCCCUGCUGCAGAGCCCCCACAAGGUCUGGACAGCUGGGGAGCAGUGGGAGGGCUCGGGGUCAUGACCAUGGCCAGUGGUGCAGUAGAUGCCAUGGGUAAUGCUAGUGGUGAUGGUUGCAGGGACUGCUCCCAAUGAGGGAAGGAAGCCGUAAGAGAACCAAAGAGGAGGAUGAGGGCUUUUAGACAGAGACCCAUAGGACAUGGAGAAGCAAUGUCUUCUGCUUUUCCUCUUCAAGUUAGUCUUCAUCUGGCACAUGAGAGACCUUAAGGCUUCUCCUUACAUUUCCCAGCCCUCCCCUGCUCUCCUUCAGCCCCGGCACAGUGGCCAGUCAACAAGUGCAUAAAGCUCCACAGGCUGGUGUUGCAGCUAAGGUGACAACAAAAGGCUGUGCCUGGCUAUUUUUAAGGACAAAAAGAAAAGUGUGGCAAGAUUUAAUUAUCCUUUGUUGCAAGAAAUACAUAAAUGAAAUCCUGGAUUCAGUUGCGGUGGAGAUCAAAUGGAGUCCCGCUGGAAGUGGGCAUCAGCUGGUCCCUCUGAAGGCAAUGGAUUUGCCCCUCCACUUGCACAAGGGUUGAACAUGACCUUAAAUGUCUACUUCUUCUCAUUAUGUGCAGUGAUAGAGUGUGAUGGGACCAGCUCCCAGAAGCAUGCAUGACCUACAUGCAGCAUUUCCUGAAGCAAAGGAAAACUUGCUCAGUAGUAAUCUUUUAGUGAAGAUUCUGUACAUAACACGCAUGAGUGAAUGGCAAUACUGUACUAAUGGAUGUACAUUUGUAACAUUUGUAAAAAAGAAAAAGAAACAAAAAAGGACAAGAGAAAAUAAAUCUGAAUUUACAUACGUGAAUUUGCUGCUAAAUUCUGUAAAUUGCACUUCAGUGAUACCUGAUAAGUGAAUGUUUCUGUUAAGUGAAUAAAAUGCCAAGUAAAAUUGUUCUUUCACUGUU
ensembl:lncRNA